rnacentral:rRNA from 1 species
AAAAACCCAGGUGGUGUGAGAUGGAUCCGCGUCUGAUUAGCCAGUUGGCGGGGUAACGGCCCACCAAAGCGACGAUCAGUAGCCGACCUGAGAGGGUGACCGGCCACAUUGGGACUGAGACACGGCCCAAACUCCUACGGGAGGCAGCAGUGGGGAAUAUUGCACAAUGGGCGGAAGCCUGAUGCAGCGACGCCGCGUGAGUGAAGAAGUAUCUCGGUAUGUAAAGCUCUAUCAGCAGGGAAGAAAAUGACGGUACCUGACUAAGAAGCCCCGGCUAACUACGUGCCAGCAGCCGCGGUAAUACGUAGGGGGCAAGCGUUAUCCGGAUUUACUGGGUGUAAAGGGAGCGUAGACGGCGACGCAAGUCUGGAGUGAAAGCCCGGGGCCCAACCCCGGGACUGCUUUGGAAACUGUGCUGCUGGAGUGCAGGAGAGGUAAGUGGAAUUCCUAGUGUAGCGGUGAAAUGCGUAGAUAUUAGGAGGAACACCAGUGGCGAAGGCGGCUUACUGGACUGUAACUGACGUUGAGGCUCGAAAGCGUGGGGAGCAAACAGGAUUAGAUACCCUGGUAGUCCACGCCGUAAAC